rnacentral:lncRNA from 1 species
AGGAGCGUGACCACUGAAUGAAGCACAGCAUCACAGGGAGACGGUCCAGCCUCCGGACGACUGAGGGCGGGCCUGGCUAAUGUCAGGCCUCCCACAAGAGGUGCCGGAGCAGAGUGUUCUCCAUCUCCCCUGGAGAAAGGGAGAUUCCCUUUCCCGGUGUGCUAAGUAACGGGUGCCCUCCCGGGCACUGGCGUUACCGCUAGACCAAGGUCUGUUAAGUAAGGAGGGCCUUCCCAGGCACUGGCGUUACCGCUAGACCAAGGAGCCCUCGAGCGGCCCUUAUCCGGGCGUGACCGAGGGCUCACACGCUUGUCUUCUGGUCACCUCUCACCGUGUCCCUCCAGCUGCUAACUCUCUAUGGCCCGGUUUUCCCUAGGUUAAAACAACAGAACAGAGAUUCUUACAGUAGUAGAACAAAGAGUAAUGCUGCAAACUAAUGAUUAGUAAUAGUCAUAUAUAAUCAUAUCUGUAUCCUACUUCUGGUAUAACUUUUCUUAUUCUGAUUAUUUUCUUUAUUAUACUGUAACAGCUUGUGCCUUCAGUCUCUUGCCUCGGCCCCUGGGUGGCUUGCCGCCCACAAGGUAAGAUAUAUUGCAUUGAACUAUAGUUUGUGUUGAUUGCCGAAGGGUUUGGGGCGGGGGGCACCCCUGAAAUUCGCCCUGGAGGAGUGGCCUCACCCUAACCCAUGCCUAAUGAUAAGGCCCACCUCUUACGGCCUUCGGCCGUCGAGUGAAAUAAAUGUUGGAGGUAAUGCGCCUAAAGCCCUCAGCUCUCCGCCGAAGUUGGGUUAGG